rnacentral:lncRNA from 1 species
AAAUGAGCAGCCUGGAGUCAUGGGAGAAAACCAGACCUCCAAUUCCAAGGACAUUAAAGAUACAGAGCAGUUUUCAGCUCAUGACCUUAUCCCAUCUCCAAAAUUAAAGCCCUCUCAAGGAAUGCCAGUCAAUGAUGAUUUAUGUUUUAGCAAAAAAAGGUCAUCAAGAAACUUAUUUCAGAGUAGUCGGGAUUUUAACUCAGAUUCAAUUCCUACAUGUGGUGCUGGUAAUACUGCAACUCUUCAGACAAAUCUUCCCGGGAAAUGUGGGCAACUUGGAUUGUCACAGAUAG